rnacentral:lncRNA from 1 species
CCGUGUUUCAUUCUUGGUGUUUUAUAUAGUGUUCUGACGAUGUAUUUUAUGUCAAUUAUUUGGGUGGAUUGCUAGUGUUAGCUAAAGUUCCUCAACUCAUUAAUUAAUAUGAAAGAUUUAAGCAGGUGGCAGUGCAUUUGAUGUAAGGGAAAUUCUCCCGCUUUGCUCAAACUAAUUUUCUUUGAUUGCCUCUCCAUGAUCCGAUAUUUUGAGUUUUCUAUUUGUUAUUUUCCAACUAAUCUUAUAGGAUUUUGAGGG